rnacentral:lncRNA from 1 species
CCAUAAAUAUAUACACCUACUAUGUACCCACAAAUUUUUUUAAAUGUGGAAGAUUUAAAAAAAUCAUAUCCUCCAAAUCCCCGUCUAUUUUUGCAUUUUUCUUCCAUUCAAAAAUCUAGCCAUAGACUUUGAAUCGAGAACCGAGACAGGAAUUUUGUCCCUAGUAACUCUCCUUGGCCAUUAGUGUUCUGUCCAUUCCUCCUAUUUUUAUGUAACAUGCUAAUAUUUGAAUAUUACAGUCUUACAAAAUAAAGUUUUCUAUGAAUGACCUAUCCAUAAGUACACACUGUUUUAGGAAUUAUGUUUCCCUGGACCCCAUGAAUGCCUUAGGUUAAAUCCUAAAAAGAUAUAAAACAAUAUACAGACAGUCCCUGACUUAGAAUGGUUUCCAUAUGAUUUUUUUGACUUUAUGAUAGUGCAAAAGUGAUAUGCUUUCAGUAGAAAUCGGAUUUCAAGUACCCAUAAAACCAUUCCAUUUUGUACUUUUCAUACUGCAUUCAAUAAAUUACACAAGAUACUCAACACUUUAUUAUACAAUGGGCUUUGUGUUAGAUGAUUAAAUGCAUUUUUGACUUACGAUAUUUUCAACUUGUGAUGGGUUUAUCAGGACAUAAUCCCAUCAUAAGUUGAGAAGCAUGUGUAUUUUGAAAAAUAUUGCUAUCUAUCUUUUUAUAUUUUAAAAGUGCAUUUCUUUCUCUUAUAAAUGCAAAUGUUAUACCUUCUGGGCUUAACCUACAUCUCAAACUGUCAAGAUGAUAAGCAUCUGUUCAUUGGAUAAUUGUUCUUUUUAUUAUGUUUGACACAUUUUUAAUUGUUUGUAUUGAUUUAUUCUUCUUAGUAAUUGCAUGUGAUGAUCAGAAUAUUUUCUAUAUGACCUUCCUGCUUUGUCUUCAAGAGGAUGAUGUCUACUCCAGGUCAACUGCCACUCAGCCAUUCAUUGUCUGCCUUCUGGGAUCUGGGUUGACUGUGUGAGAGGCCUAAUGAGGUUUUAGAGGAAAAAUACAACAUGAAAGCCAGAAGAUAGGAGCUCAGAAAAGAACACGCUUCAUUUCUGCUCACAUUUUAUUUGCCAAAGCAAGGCACAUGGCCAAGCCUGAUGUUAAUGGGGUGGGAAUGAAUAUUUUGAAUAAUAUGUAAUUAUCCAAUGAUAAUUAAAUUGUUGGAUAUCCAGUAAUAACUAAAAUAUAUAUUUUAAUCUUCACACCAAGGAAAGAUGGAUGUCAUUUUCCCACACAUAGGAAUACUGAUUAGUGUUUUGCAGAAUGUCCUUUAGCUUGUUUUCUUCUGAUACUUUUCUCAUAAAACUGGGAUUAUGGUUUUUUUGGGGAGGGAAGGAGAGAUCACAGAGAAAAAUGCCAUUCUCACCACAUGAUAUCAAGGAUAUAUGCUAUUAACGUGACCCAUCAUUGUGAAUCUUAACCUUGGGGUCGGGCUUGUCAGUUCUCUCCACGGUGGUUACUUGUUUUCUUUCUUUCUAUAUUGUACUCUUUGGAAGGAAGUCACUAUGCACAAUACUCACUUAAGAAGUGAGGAGCUAUGCUUCACGUCUUUAAAAGCAUUUCCCCCAUUUUACAGGUUAGGAAUUGGAAGUUUAAGCCCAGGACAGCAUACUUCCUUAGUAGCAUCAAGACUGAUACCCAAGUCUGUCUGACAUAUAAAACUAUUCUUUCUUCAGUACUCCACAAAAACUAGUCCUACUCCUAUAAGAAUG